AUUGAACGCCUGGCGGCAGGCCUAACACAUGCAAGUCGAACGGUAACAGGAAACAGCUUGCUGUUUCGCUGACGAGUGGCGGACGGGUGAGUAAUGUCUGGGAAACUGCCUGAUGGAGGGGGAUAACUACUGGAAACGGUAGCUAAUACCGCAUAACGUCGCAAGACCAAAGAGGGGGACCCUCGGGCCUCUUGCCAUCGGAUGUGCCCAGAUGGGAUUAGCUUGUUGGUGGGGUAACGGCUCACCAAGGCGACGAUCCCUAGCUGGUCUGAGAGGAUGACCAGCCACACUGGAACUGAGACACGGUCCAGACUCCUACGGGAGGCAGCAGUGGGGAAUAUUGCACAAUGGGCGCAAGCCUGAUGCAGCCAUGCCGCGUGUAUGAAGAAGGCCUUCGGGUUGUAAAGUACUUUCAGCGGGGAGGAAGGGAGUAAAGUUAAUACCUUUGCUCAUUGACGUUACCCGCAGAAGAAGCACCGGCUAACUCCGUGCCAGCAGCCGCGGUAAUACGGAGGGUGCAAGCGUUAAUCGGAAUUACUGGGCGUAAAGCGCACGCAGGCGGUUUGUUAAGUCAGAUGUGAAAUCCCCGGGCUCAACCUGGGAACUGCAUCUGAUACUGGCAAGCUUGAGUCUCGUAGAGGGGGGUAGAAUUCCAGGUGUAGCGGUGAAAUGCGUAGAGAUCUGGAGGAAUACCGGUGGCGAAGGCGGCCCCCUGGACGAAGACUGACGCUCAGGUGCGAAAGCGUGGGGAG
rnacentral:rRNA from 1 species